AUUUAAAUGUGAGAAUUACAAUAUCUGAUUUAUUAUUCACAGCAUAAUUUUUUAUUAAAUAAACUUUCAAUCCCAUUAUCAUUUUUAAACUACUUAGCUCCAAUCAAAAUGAAAAGGCCCAUUUCUUCAUCUUUAUUGAUGUCUUUCACGUUUCAGUGCCCUGGAAAGAGACUUUCUCUACUUUUAAAUGAAGAAUUCUGGGUUGCUCAUUAUAUCUGAAAGAUGGAUGUAAUGGAAAUGAGUGAUGGAACAGCUCUACAACAGCAACUCUGUGCUUCACUGUGGUUUGCUGCCCUGGAAUAAUAUCUGCUACUUUUGUCUUCACCAAAAUCAUGUGGUUCCCUCACCAGUGUCAUUUACUCGCCCAAACUUUAUCUUAGUGGUGGAGGUGGAUUAGUCCCCUGAACCUUGAGAACAUGUUUUUUUCUUAUGCAUCAUAAUUGGGAAGUUUUUCUUCAAAAUAUCACUAGGCUGAAAAUGAAGUUCUUUAAAAGACUUAUAGAAAGGUAGCGAAAAGAUGUUUUCUUUUUAAUGGAUGUCAAUGGAAAUGCAGUAUAUAUAGUAGGUCCUGAGAAGACUUAACAGAUAUGUGACAUGAAAAUAUGUUUCCUCUCAAAUCCAUGCUUGCCAGAACUUUAUUUUUAAAUAGCAGAAGCCUUGCAAGGAAAUGUGAAAGGCUGGUACUAUUAAAAAGGUCUGAGUUAUUAAAAAAAAUACAUAUGCAUUCCUACAUGAGACAUAUACCUUAAAGAAGGACUGCCUUCUAACGCAGAUUUUGUUUUUGUUUUUUUACUUGGCAUAACAGAGAAGUCAACGCGCUAAUCAAUAAGUGCCAUCUAUUUUUGAUUGACCUUAAUUUUCUGAAUGACUGCUUUUCUUCAAAUAUUUUAAGUCAUGACUAAAUUUCAUUUAAUAAGAAAUGUUUAGGUUAGUUUGUAAACAAGAAAUCAGAUAUUAUGAAUCCAAACCUGGAAUUACAUUUCAAUAAUGCUUAAUUUAUUUCAUAUUUUAGCCAACUGAUUUGUAAUUGUAUUAAGGCUCCCAGGAUAAACUCCAUGGUUAAUUUGGCCCUUUAAAGGUCAACAACAUAUAAGGGCAUAUGUACUUUAAUUCUACUUUAUUCUGAUAUUUCAUAAAACAAUAAUGUAUUAGUCUGUUCUCAUGCUGCUGAUAAAGAUAUACCCAAGACUGAGUAAUUUAUAAAGGAAAGAGAUUAAUUGACUCACAGUUCCACAUGGCUGGGGAGGCCUCACAAUCAUGGAGGAAGGCAACGAGGAGCAAAGUGAUGUCUUACAUGUAGGCAGGCAAGAGAGCUCAUGUGCUGGGGAACUCCGCUUUAUAAAGCCAUCAGAAAUUGUGAGACUUAUUCACUAUUAUGAGAACAGCACUGAAACGACCACACCCAUGAUUCAGUUACCUCCCACUGGGUACCUCCAACGACGUGUGGGAAUUAUGGGAGAUACAAUUCAAGAUUUGGGUGAGGACACAGCCAAAUCAUAUCAAAUGGCAUGAGAUUUAUUGUAAAGAACAGGGAUAAUAUUACCGUCUUCAUGGGACUGUUCUACAGAGAAAAUGAAAUAAAUCAUGAAAUACUAUUUGGACCUAGGGAAUAUUUAACAGUUGCAGAUGUCACUGCACAGCUGCCAGUCUUCGAUUUUGAGAAGUCAUGGAGGACAAUUCUCUGCAAGAUAGCAAGUGGAGUAUCAGCUUACACUGAUACCUGGGAAGCUAGCGGAAAAAAUCAUUAAGCAAUUAAUUAGCAACGAUUUAAAAGAACCAAGAAGUUGGAAAGCAACCCAUAUGGCUUUAAGAUCAAAUGGUACCUUUCCAAUUUUGUUGCCCUCUCUAAUUGAGGAACAGCCCAAAAGGUAAGAAAUCAUGCAGGUGGAGUCCUGCAUGAUUGUCAAACCAUCAGUGCAAGCUAAGUUGUUCAAAACUCUAAGUAUCAUCUAUUUAUUUUUGGCAUGAUAUAUGUGAUUAUAUUCAUUAACAGGUAAUAUACUGUAUUGUGUGCCCUGUGUUAGAGACUGGUAAUGGGAUAAGCAAUGAGUUCAGGGAUUUCGUAAAAGGUUGAUCAAUUUGCCAAGAUUUCAUAAGAGUUGAUAUGACUACACCACAGACUCUGAAAUGGUGUUUUUAAAUAACACUAUCAAGAGCAAAGGAAAUCAAGCUAUUCGUAAUUAGUUUUCUAUGACAAAGUUGGAAUGGCUGUGUCAUUGUUUUACAAAAUGUCAAAGUGCAGCAGAAGGAGAAGAAAUCUUUCGUGUCUGGUGAUUAUUCAUAGAUCUGGGUGCCCUGAGAGCAGUAUUUCUCCAAAGGGUUGCCUGCACCAAUAGCUGACUCAUCUGUGGAACUUGUUCAAAAUGCAAGCCCCUAAGCCCCUUGGCAGGCUUAUUGAAUGAAAGCUCUGAAUGUGAAUUUUAUCACAGUGGAGACUCUAAUACUCAUGGAAAUUUGAGAUCUGCAGAGAAAAAUGGCAUUAUUCGAUAUGUAAUAAGCAUUCUUAAUAUGAAUAUGGCACAAAUAAUUGAGAAUAUCAAUACUCAGAUGAGUCUAAAUAUGAGUGGAUUAGUCUAGAAAACUUUAGUCCAGAAAACCGAAAUACAUAUCAGUGAUUUUGAAACAUCUGGAAGUGAGCCAUUCAAAAACAGAAUAAAUUUCAGUGGUGAAAGCAAGAGAUAUGUGGUCUGUGUGUCAUAAUUAGCUAUUCCCUUUGAUGGGGACUUUCCAGGUUACCUCCUCAGAGGAUCUUCACUCCUUCUAGUUUUGUUUUGUUUUGUUUUAUUUUGUUUGCUCCAGGUAAAGAAUGACAUUUUAAAAAUACUGAUUCCCAGGCCCAUCCCAGACUAGUUUAAACAGAAUUUCUGCAGGUAGAGUUUAGACAGUGGGAUUUUUUAAGGAUUGAGAACCACCAUGUAGAUAAGCAGAGGUCAGGUAUGGGAGGUGGCAAGGAGAGAGAGAUAAACAUGCUUUCUUACUCAAGUAUGCUUGGUUACAAAAAUGGAACUGGAAAAUAA
rnacentral:lncRNA from 1 species